UACGUAGGGGGCGAGCGUUAUCCGGAUUCACUGGGUGUAAAGGGAGCGUAGACGGCCAAGCAAGCCAGGGGUGAAAGCCCGGGGCCCAACCCCGGGACUGCCCUUGGAACUGCAUGGCUGGAGUGCGGGAGGGGCAAGCGGAAUUCCUGGUGUAGCGGUGAAAUGCGUAGAUAUCAGGAGGAACACCGGCGGCGAAGGCGGCCUGCUGGACUGCGACUGACGUUGAGGCUCGAAAGCGUGGGGAGCGAACAGG
rnacentral:rRNA from 1 species